UCGGUGCUAGUUGUGUGCGAAUCUGCUGAGGUUUUAGGGCAUUUAACGAACCAGGCCAACAGAAUCCAUCCAUGUUAGCCUCUUUGUUUCUUCUCUCUCUUCGGUGGUGUAAUCUUAUAAAUUUCGUAAAAUGACAACUUUGGCCUCUUUCUGUAAGGCUAUGGUAGUCUGGUGUCUCCAAUUGGCCACAACUUUUCUGACGCACUGACAUAUAAGUCCUUAUUUUCUCAACUUGACCAAAAUGCCCUAGUGCAUUUUUUAAGUUCUUUGAUGGGGGAUUAAAAGUAUUAGGAUGUUUGAUGGGAUUAAAAUUAAAUUUUUUAGUAAUUUGUACAAAAAUUUUAUAAAUAUGUGAAUGAAAAGUUGUGGUAUCUGUUAAAUGUGAUUAAUAUUGAUAAGUUUCGUAAAAUGACAACUUUGCCCUCGUUCUGUAAGGUUAUGGUUGUCCGGUGUCUCCAAUUGGCCACAACUUUACUGACGCACUGACAUAUAAGUCCUUUAAUUAUUUUCCCAACUUGACCAAAAUGCCCUUGUGUAUUUUCUAAUUCCUUUGAUAGGGGAUUAAAAUUAGGAGGAUGUUUGGUGAUGAUUAAAAUUUGAUUUUUUAGUAAAUUGUGGUAGAAAUUUUUGAAAUGUGUGGCUGAAAAAUUGUGGGAUUCAUGAAAUAUAUGGUUGAUAUUGAUGGUUUGAUUUUAAUUUAGAUUAAAAUUAGAUUUUAAUCCGAACCAAAUAUAGACAGUUUUAGUAAAUUUUAAUAAAAGUUAAUGAAAUAUUUGAUUAAAAGGUUAUGAAUCCCAUAAGAUAUGAGAUUGAAAAAGUGUGAAUGUCAUAAAAUGUUUUAAAAAUUAAAAUGUUUUAAAAAUUAAUUAUUGGUUGAGAUUUAGCCUUCUAAAAGGGAACGAGCUAUGUGCACGGCACGGCACACAGCUUGAUUCAUAGCACCCUCACAUAGGGGGUCUAUACCAAUAAAAAAAUGGCGCGAGCCCUACACCACAGUGAGGGUGCAGUACAAACAGAUUCAUCUUUCUAAAAAUUCAUUUUUUUGAAAAUCCAAUUUCAAACACACAUUUUUUUAUAAAAUAAUAUUAUACUCAAAUUUACAAUUUUUCUCGUAAUUUUUAAUCAAAUAUUAUCUAUGAAUCUAUCAUUUAAAAUGUAUUAUUUCUCUCAAAAUGUGGCUCAAACGAGGGUUUAGAGUAAAAUCUAAACUUUGAAUUACCCAAUUGGCUGUGGUCACUUCCGUAAGGGCCUUCGGCCUUAAAUUAGCCAAGAAAGCUGCAUUUUUGUACUACGUGCCAUAUUUUUAUUGGCAGAAAAUU
rnacentral:lncRNA from 1 species